UGGGGACAUUCCUGAGAGCCACCACCAGCUUGGGGACAUGGAUGGAGGCCACCACCACCAUGGGGACAUCGAGCAGGGUCACCGGCUUGGGGACAUCGGUGGAGGCCACCAGAUCAUGGACAUGGAUCGAGGUCACCACCCUGGGGACAUC